GCCCCCCUGCCCAUCUCCUCCUCUCUCAAUUCUUGCAGCCACCAAACCCUAGCCGCCCCCCCCCCUCUCAAUUCCCUCCUCCCAAGGUGCCAAUCCUUGCCGUUCGGAUCAUCGUCGUCGUGGUGCGAGUCUUCAAUCGUUUUGGUGGAGGGAAGAAGGGAGGAAGGAAAGGGGGAGAAUCCAAGGUGAUUUUUUGUGUUCAUCCCUUGUUCAUUUGCGCUGCAAUUUAAUUGAUUAGAGGUUGCGUUUGCGAUUGGGGUAGAGGGGGGCUGUCCAGAAUUUUAGGUGGUGGGUGAACAACAGUAGUCUAGCAGUUUCUGUGUUUUUUUCGUGAGGAAUUGAGGGAAAUCAGUUUGGGGAUCAUGUAGAACUUUACCUUACCUUUCCAACGAGUAUUUGUGCGCUCAAUUUGGAGUUAUAAAUUGAAAGUUAUCACCGUUUGAAUCCGGGUAUGUGGCUGUCCAAAAAACAGCUUUUUCAGGGGGAUGAACAGCAGCAGUAUUAGCAGUUUCUGGGAAUUUUUCGUGGGUAAUUAGUGUUAAUCAGUAUGAGAAUCAUGUAGGGCUUUAUGUUAUCUUUCCAACAAGUACUUAUGCGCUCGAUUCGGAGUUAUAAUUCAGGAGAUAUCGUUGUUUGAAUCCGGUUAUGUUGCUGUCCAAAAAAACAGAUUUUUCAGGUGGGUGAACAGCAGUGGUAUUAGCAGUUUCUGGGAAUUUUUCGUGGGUAAUUAGUGUUAACCAGUAUGGUAAUCAUGUAGGGAUUUGUCUUAUCUUUCCAAUGAGUACUUAUGCGCUUGAUUUGGAAUUAUAUUUUAAAAGAUAUCGCUGUUUGAAUCUGGGUAUGUCGUUGUCCAAAAGACAAAGAAAAACAGAUUACAGGGUUCAUCUUGUGGACUGUUUUGGGCUAAUUAGAUAUUGGAAUUUAAUUAUAAAUUGUAUACAAAAAUUGUGGGGAAUUUUAUGUAGAUGCCUCUGGAGUUUUUGUUUGUUACCACUGCUGUCAUAAUUUUAAAGUUAUGAAAUUAUUAAGCAGCGCCGCUGCAGUUUGGUGGGUGUAGGGAGAGAUGUAACCCGCGACGGGGUUUGAGUUUGUGCGUAGGUGCGGCGUCGCUUAUGAGCCUGAUUAUGUGAAAUUGGUGUACUAAGUUGGGUGUCAAAAACAGGUGGUGGACUUCCGGAUCGUACUUAGGGAUUUGCCCGAACUUCCGGUAAAGGCAAGUAAAUACAGUGGUGGUUGCUACCGUUUGGUUUGCAUCCUAUUCCCUAUCAUUGAGUAUGCAUAAGUUUUAAUUAUGUUAAUCAUUGAAUUCUAUGAUGAAGUUUAUUUGUUUGGAAGUAUUAAUUCUCAAUUGUCUAAUAUUGUGGAUGAUCAUAAUUUGGUAAUGAUAUAUGUGGUUGAUUCCCAUCUGGAUGAAGUUGAAGUGUCUUUUUGAAUCAUGUUAUAUGAAGUGUUGUAGGCAUGACAUGCACAUCGCAUCAUCCAUCUUGCAUUUUGAAGUUAUGUCGUGAUCUUAUGGUCCGACCGUACCGGUACAUUUUUAGCAUCGUACGUUGCCCGAGGAGGGGUACGAUGCGGCUUCAUAUCCUUAGAGGUAUGAAGGCAGAAGUCAUCAUUGCAUUUGCAGACAUUUGCACUCAUGAGGAAUAUAUGAAGUGUGACAUUACUAUGUUACUAUUGUGGUUUCUACCUGCGAGGUGUGGUAACUAGGUGCGUUGUAUGUUGUAUACGUGCUGCACCUUCGUAAUAAGAAGGUUGUGGAAUUAAGUGGUGGUAAAACAAUGUUCUUAUGUGGUUAAACUGUUUGAUAUUAUUACUUGCUGAGAUGUGUCAUCUCACUCUUGCAUUACUCAAUGCAGGUACUUGAUACAUGUUGGGAAUGAGGGGAGUAGCAGCACGCCCACUUUCACUCUCACAAUAACGCUGCCCAGGCGCAGCCAUGAUUUAAUUAGAAACUUAUUGUCAAAGGAAGUUUGUUUUUUAUAUGGUCGUGCGCACUGGUUAAUUCAGUUCAGGUCGUAUGUUUAUCUUUCCUUGCUAGCCGAGUAAUAAUACUUAGUAUGUUUUAGUCAUGAUAUAUGUUUAUACUCUGUUGCUCCCUCUUUUAUGCAAUCUUGCAAAGGGGAUGCUGCCGAAAUUUUAUAUAUGGACGUCGGAAGUGUAGUACAGUAGCAUACCGGGUUGUUUGUGGAACCUGGAGUGUUACAGUUGGUAUCAAAGCAUAGGCUUUAGAUUCUACGCAAUUUGAAGAUAAAUUUGACACACUUGCACAUAUAGGAAGGGUAUGGGUUCAUAUAUCUUUCAUAUUAGUAUUUUAUUGUAUAGAUGACUAGAAUUUCCUUACUCCAAACCCCUUUAUGGUUUGAUGAGGUAUGUCGUUAGCGACGUAAUGCUUGAUAUGAAAUGUUACUUCUAUUUAAUAUUGGUUUCUUGAUGUGGUUGUUAUUGAAAUUAUUAUGCGAGUGAAGCUACUAAUGUACUUGUUUUAUAUACAUAUCGUCAUGAUGUUUUUUGGGAUGCAAUGUUUACUAAUCUCUGAGCUAUUACCAUCAUAUAUUUCUAUAUGCUUGACUGUGGAUGUUUUUUUCCCAAAAGGAUUCUUGGGUUCUAGUACUUGUAGGACCGAUUGUUUAUUGAGCUUGUGUAUAGAGGAUCUAAUCCGACUUGGUGUUGUGUGAAAACACUAUACAAUGAAGUUUUAUGGUGUUGUUGAGUUGGAUUGACUGUUGGGUUACAACCCAACUUAUCAAUGUAAUAUUUCCAUGGGUGCAGUGCUUUACACCUCACCUUUUUUUUGGCUAGUGUGGCUACUUGCCAACUUGAUCUUAGAGUACAAUAGGUUUGUCUCCAUAGAGCAAAGGCAAUGUUGUACUGUCUAUGAAAUCUUGAGACUAGAAGAACUCAAGUGAAUUUGCAAGAUGACGUGGGUAGAUAAG
rnacentral:lncRNA from 1 species